CCUACGGGUGGCAGCAGUGAGGAAUAUUGGUCAAUGGGCGAGAGCCUGAACCAGCCAAGUCGCGUGAGGGAGUACUGCCCUAUGGGUUGUAAACCUCUUUUGUCGGGGAGCAAAAGCCGGACGUGUACGGCUGUCAGAGUACCCGAAGAAAAAGCGUCGGCUACCUCUGUGCCAGCAGCCGCGGUAAUACGGAGGAUGCGAGCGUUAUCCGGAUUUGUUGGGUUUAAGGGGUGCGCAGGCGGAUUGUUAAGUCAGCGGUUAAAUCGUGGGGCUCAACCCCAUCCAGCCGUUGAACCUGGGGAUCUAGAGGGUGCGAGAGGUAUGCGGAAUGCGUGGUGUAGCGGUGAAAUGCAUAGAUAUCACGCAGAACCCCGAUUGCGAAGGCAGCAUACCGGUGCACAACUGACGCUCAGGCACGAAAGCGUGGGUAUCGAACAGGAUUAGAUACCCGGGUAGUC
rnacentral:rRNA from 1 species